AACGAACGCUGGCGGCAUGCCUAACACAUGCAGGUCGAACGAGACCUUCGGGUCUAGUGGCGCACGGGUGCGUAACGCGUGGGAACCUGCCUUUAGGUCCGGAAUAACUCAGAGAAAUUUGAGCUAAUACCGGAUGAUGUCUUCGGACCAAAGAUUUAUCGCCUUUUGAUGGGCCCGCGUUGGAUUGGCUAGUUGGUGGGGUAAAGGCCUACCAAGGCGACGAUCCAUAGCUGGUCUGAGAGGAUGAUCAGCCACACUGGGACUGAGACACGGCCCAGUCUCCUACGGGAGGCAGCAGUGGGGAAUAUUGAACAAUGGGCGAAAGACUGAUCCAGCAAUGCCGCGUGAGUGUUGAAGGCCUUAGAGUUGUAAAGGUCUUUUAACCGAGAUGAUAAUGACAGUAGCGGGAGAAUAAGCGCCGGCUAACUCCGUG
rnacentral:rRNA from 1 species